rnacentral:lncRNA from 1 species
GGUUGCCUCCAUUAAGGUUAUUCGAAAUAAGCAGACUGGCUUCUCAGAAGGCUAUGGAUUUGUUGAGUUCCAUUCUCAUGCUGCUGCUGAAAAGGUUUUGCAAAGUUAUACUUGCAUUCCUAUGCCUAACACCGAUCAACCUUUCCGUUUAAACUGGGCUACAUUUAGCAUGGGCGACAAGCGCUCAAAUAAUGGUUCUGAUCUUUCUAUAUUUGUAGGAGAUUUAGCUUCAGAUGUCACUGAUACCUUGUUGCAUGAAACUUUUGCUAGUAAAUACCCAUCUGUUAAAGCUGCUAAGGUAGUCAUUGACGCCAACACUGGCCGCUCAAAAGGUUAUGGUUUUGUAAGGUUUGGAGAUGAUAAUGAGAGGUCCCAAGCCAUGACCGAAAUGAAUGGUGCAUACUGUUCAAGUAGGGCUAUGCGCAUCGGUGCGGCAACCCCCAGAAAGUCUGUUGGUUACCAACAACAAUAUACUUCACAAGGUAAGUUGUAACCUUUUUUACUUUUAGCAGCUUAGUUUGAAACUCAUUAUUGUAAAGUACCUAUUACUUAAAGUUUGUUUAUUUAGUCUUGCCUUGUUAAUAUAGGCUACGUGAAAUUAUGUAGGACAUCAGGAUUAUCGGGAAGAUGAGGGGGAGAAUAAUUUUCCUCUUCUCUAUUUCUCAGUUGAAAUAACUUAGGCUAAUAGUUAACAUGUAAUUGAUAGUAGGAUUUACGUUCUCCCUUACUGCUUCUUUCCCAACCAGAUUAAAAAAGCCCUGCAUAAGUCUAGUCCCCUUCCGCCUUCUGAAUUCAUUUGACAUGUGGUUAAAUGUACUAUGUACACAUCUACUUUCCUUUUCUGACCCCACUCAUGUUCCAUAGAAAGUCAGUCAUGUAACACCAGGUCAAGUUUUGUUUUAGCAUGAUAUACUGAAAAGUAAAGUGGAUUAUAUUUAGAAGAAGUGGGAGGUGAGGUUGAGAGAACAGCCAAUGUUGUGAUCAUGUUUCUUUUGUAAGAUAAUCAUUGAGUUUUAACAGGCAAUAUAAAUAUUUGUUCUUGUGGCUUUAUAAUUAGAUGUGUUAAGAACUUACAUGUAUAGUGGAACCAGUGAUGAGCAGGAAAAUCUAUCAAUGUUGCUUCUAUUUUAUAAAUAUCAGUGAUUUGGAUUAAAAAGAGUAGCAUAGGUCUUUUGUACUCUCUGGUUUCUACUCUGUUCAUUCUCUUUUAUGUUGCUACAAAAGUAAUCUGGUACAUUUAUAUGGCGCAAAACUCAACUUGGCCUGAAUAUUCUGUGAAAGGGGAGGCAUACUCGUAAUUUCUGUAUGCGUUUGUAUUUAGAUAAUAUCUGACAUAGGUAACAGAUGCCUUGAAGAUCUAUUCUUUCUUCUAUCAGGCUCAUAUACAUUUAGAAAUAGUAUGAAAAUCGGCUCUGUAACUUUUAAGUUUAACUUAUACAGUUUGCUCAGUUCCAGUUCUCCAAACAGUUUUGUUGUUUAUAUAUUUAUUCCUUUCAGAAACACUUGCUUAAUGGUUUGUUGUGUAUAUAUUUUCUUUAGUAAGUCUUGCUGAAUGGUUUGCUUGAUUUUUAAUCAUUUGAAUAUGGCUCUUCUAGGUGGACAUGUUUCCAAUGGUGAAUCUGAUGGAGAUUCUACCAACACAACAGUUAGUUUUCUGGCUUCUAGCAGAUAAAUAAGUAUAUUAUUAAAUCACGGGCUUCCCCCUUUUUGUUAAUUUUCUAACAAGCAAGUAUAUGUAGAUAUUUGUUGGAGGGCUUGAUCCAAGUGUUAGCGAUGAGGACCUCAAGCAGCCGUUCUCCCAGUAUGGAGAGAUCGUCUCAGUAAAGAUACCAGUUGGGAAAGGAUGUGGGUUUGUACAAUUUGCCAACAGGUACAAAAUAGCUUAGUAGUUUGUACCAUAUCAUACGUUCAAUGAUACAUUCUAAACAGAAGUGAUGCUUCUGAACCGUGUUGUGACACACAUUCAUUCUGGCAGAAAUGACGCGGAUGAGGCAUUGCAGAAGUUAAAUGGCACCGCAAUUGGCAAGCAGACAGUUCGUCUUUCUUGGGGGCGCAACCCAGCCAAUAAGCAGGUCUUUUGUUAGUACAGUAAUGCUGCAAUUAGUAGUGUUUUGAACUUGUUACAAUGCUGUUUUCUCUGUUCUGAUUAUCUGUAUGGUUUUGAAUUUCUGCUCAUUGGUCUGUCUUGGUAUACUUGAAUGUUGCAGUUUCGAGGUGAGUAUGGCAACCAGUGGACUGGUGCAUACUACGGAGGGCAAAUGUUUGAUGGAUAUGGAUACGCAAUGCCAGCUCAUGAUCCAAGCAUGUACGCGGCUGCAGCAUAUGGCGCGUACCCUGUGUAUGGAACUCAUCAACAACAAGUCAGCUAAUUGGCUGCCUAGUGAACCGAUCACACGAAGAUCACACGUUGAAAUGGGCAGAAUUGUUCCAAUUUCUGUAGUUUUGUGUGUGUAGAAAUUCUAUAAUUCCCUCUAAAUGUGGAGUGGAACUGAAUUUUGACUGAUUGGCUAGUUCUAGGAAUUUGAUGAUAACAUUUAUCCAGGAGUGUGGGGAUUUAACGUAAGACUUCCUGAUUAGAAUAAAUGUUCUUUCACACGAAGUACUAUGCUCACAAAGCUAAUAUUCAGAUACUCCAGGUAACCUGGUUUUGCUUGUGGUGAGUUGAUAUUUUUUUAGGGUUUUAAUUCGAGCCGAGCCGGACGAGUUUUAAGAUGAGCCUAAUUCGAGCCAAGUUUAAUCGAGUCGAGCCGAGCCGGCUCAGUUAACUAAUCGAGCCUAAAUCUUUGCCGAACUCGACUCGGUUAAUUUCACGAGUCGAGUUGAGCCGGCUCGUUUAGCUAAACGAGCCGGUUUUAACGAGUUGAGCGAGCCAACUCGUAUAAUUUUACACUUAAUCGAGCCCAAACCUCUACCCGAACUCGGCUUGUUUAAUUUCACGAGUCAAAUCGAGCCGGAUCAUGUAAUUAAACGAACCAAAACCUUAACCCGAACUCGACUCAUUUAACGAAUCGAGUCGGGCCGAGCCGGACCCACUUAAACGAGUUCGAGCCGGGCGAGCUUGCGAGCCGCCGGACUCGAAUUACAGCUCUAUAUUUUUUAAAAGAAAUUUUGGGUUAUGUUUGGAAUACGCAUAAUUACUCCCUUUAUGUUUAAAAUAUCAAAAUCUAUUGGAGAAGGCUGUAAUAUCUCGUCUAACAUUUUAUGAAACUCCUGCACGAAGGAAAUCUAACAUAUCAGCAUUUUGUAAAAACAAACUUUCAGGUUAAUGCUUCAUGGUUGUUUUUGCACUUUGGAGAGGUGGAGGCAAAUAAAAAAAGAAAAAAAAAGGAAUUUGGGGUAAAAAAUUAAUUUUAAAAUUUUUCAGUUAAAGGAGCUUCUACACGUGUUUGGAAUAUAAAAAAUAAUCAAACAACUAUUUAUCAAAAUUAUAUCUUAUUUAAUUCAUUAUCAAAAUAAUGUCUUACUGAGUAUUUAAUUCAAGUGAUUUGCGAAUCGAACUAACUGGUAGUUAGUUCUGGUCAAAAUCGUUGAUCCAAUUUAUCUAUCUUUGAACAUACGCAUAUCUACUCCCUAGAUCUCAAUGUGUCCUUUUUAAUUAUUCAGCGAUCAAUUUAAUUGAUAAUUAAUUAAAAAAAUUUGUUAAUAAUUUCAAAUUUUGAAAAAGAGAUUUUGAAAAAAAUUAAAUAUAUUUUAUAAUAAGUAAUUUUUAAUAUCUUUUUUAGUUGAAUAAUAUAUAUAAUUUAUGAUUAAAAUUUAAUCAAUUUUAUUUAAUUAAAAUAAUAAAAUAUGAUAUGAGAUGGAGAGAGUAUUAAAAUUUAAGAUCGUCACAGAAACAGAAAUAACUUCACGUUCUCCGCUUUCUCUCCCAACUUCAAAAUUAAUUACUUCCUCCAUCCCAAAAUAGUUGUCACAUUUCUAUUUUUGUUGGUUGAAUUGAUUAAGUUUUGACCAAAGAUUAUAAUUCGAUUCUCAUUAUUUUAAAAAACUGAAAAUUACAUUUUAAAGUAGAUUAAAAAUUAUUUCCAGUGGCAUAUUUUUUUUAUUUUGUUACUCCCUCCGUCCCUAUUUAUCUGUCCACUUUGGAAGUAAAAAUCUGUCUCUAUUUAUCUGUCCAUUUAUACUUUCAAAACUAAUUUAAUGAUAGUUUUUCAAAUAUAUCUCCAUAAUUUCAAUUUUCAAGGCUUGACUUAUUUAAAACUUGGUUGAAUUCAUGUUUUGAAGACAUAAAGUAGGGGUAUUCUACCAUUUUCAAGAUAUUAAUUAGAGGUAUUUAAUGAAAAAGUUUAUACAAUCAAUUAUUCUUUGGUAUGUAUUUUUUUUUUCAAAAUAGACAGAUAAAAAGAGACGGAAGGAGUAAUUGAUAAAAUAUUAUUAAAUUUCAGUCAAAUUUUAGUUAAUUUGACCAGCACAAAACUGACUAUUUUGGGACGGUGGGAAUACAACUCAGGCCUGUUGGAUCAAAAUUCAAAACAAGCAAACAACUCCCGAAGGGCCCAAUAGAAGUGGAAGAUUUGGGCUGUGGAGCCCAAACACAGUGACUUUUCACUCUGGUGUUAGUAAAUUGCGGAAAUAUUCAUGAUAUCGCUUAAAAUCAAUAAUAUGCCACAAAAGUAACCUAGUAGACUAGCAGUACAAGUUAAUCCCCAAUUUUGGCAGCUAUGUUUAACUGCCACUUCAGUCACAUCUCUUCAAAUGGCAGAACCAGUUUCCAAGUACUAGAAAGGAACAAUCUGUCUGUCUAUUUUUAUCGUCAAAAAAAAAAAAAUCAGAUUAUCUUCAUCGAAUAUUAAAAGUGAAAACCAACUCUACUCUAAAAUAUAUUUUGCCGAAAGAAACAAAUAAAAAAUUACAAACUAUAUCUAUAAUAUGCCCAUCCAACGGUUCUCAUAAACUCACCUUAAUCCAACGGCCGAGAAUGUAUCUACAUGAGAAGGGCUUCAGUUAGCCUCUUACAUAAAUCUUCUCUUCCAGCCUCCCUCCACCUCCUUUCUUCUUCCCAGAUUUAUCCACCACAAUUUAACAAAUUCUUUUCUUCAUUCAAAACUAAAAAUAAUUAAAAAAACAAUUAUUUAUUAUUUAUUGAUUUAGUGUGAGAGCACAAUAAUUGUGAAAUGCAGACCAUAGCUUCUGAUCCGGUGACUCCCCAGCCGGCUGUAGCGGCCAAGGCGGCGCCGUCGCCUCAGUGGCUGCCUAUGCAGUAUCCGGCAAUGGUAAUGCAGCAUCACAUGAUGCCGCCGCCGCAUUACCCACCUCAUUAUUUGCCUUAUCAUCCUCUGCAGCAGCAUCACAUGGCUCCUAGUCAUCAACAAGGAUCCGGGGGGACCAGUGAGAACCAGACUAUUUGGGUGGGGGACCUUCAUAACUGGAUGGACGAGGAUUAUCUCCGCAACUGCUUUGCUUCAACCGGGGAGGUACGCUGAUGUUUAUGGUGAAUAUUUGCGAAAUAUUUGAUUAUUUGGUUCUAUAUAACCUUAGGACAUUGGUUGUGUUAUCACUCCUUUUUCUACUUAAAAUUUGAGGAAUAUGAUACGAAUCGAAUUGUUAAAGGAUGGAGUUAUAAUUAUACUCCCUCUGUUCUAAAAUAAUAGUCGUUUUAAAAUAUUCAGAAAAAAAAAAUUUGUAUGAUUAUUUGGUUCUAUAUGUUGUUUAAGAUAUGGCGAACCAAACAUUGGUUGUUUUAUCACUCCUUUUCUACUUAAAAAUUGAGAAAUGUGAUACAAAUAUGUGAGUAAUGUGGAUUUCGAAUUGUCAAGGUUGGAGUUAUAUAUAAUUAUAAAUUGCAUCUUCUUUGUUUUUCUUGUACUGAAUUUCUAUGCAGAGUAGCUAUAGAUUAGCUACAGACUUUCUUCAGGGAUUAGCGGUAGACUUUCUAUAGCAGGAUGCAAAUUUGAUUAACAGUUUUCUGUUUUUGUUUAUUGUACUUAACCUUGUCACUCAUUCAAUUUAUGAUUGUGGACAAAAAUUUGGUGAUGUAUGUACAUGAAGAUAAUAUGAGUAUGGAGUUUAAUCCAAAACUAUGAUACACUCUUUUGUUGCAAUCUUGUAAUCCUUUAUUUUGAGUUUGGUUGGGGAGAAUGGUAUGGAAUGACUAAAAAUAAAUGAAAAUAAUAGAAGUAGGAGGGAAGUUCCGGAAAAAUUUUAGUGAGUGCAAAAUUGUUAUAUAUGAUGAGAUUUGAGAAGAAAUUGAGUAAAAGAAGGAAUGGAGCUUUCCUUCUCAAAUUGGGGGUGUGAUCUCUAGUAAAGGGUGUAAGAAAUGGAAUGGAGGAAAAAAUGAAAUUUAUGCCACACUGGACUCCUUGCACAACUAGCUUAAUCAUGUAUAUCUCUAUAGUAAUUUUUGCUCUGUUUGGGAUAGGAUGAAUUGACCUAUUUAUCUCUAUUUGUCACAAAUUAAUUGUCAGGCCUAGUAAAAAUAUCAAAAUGUUGAAGCGCAAAACUUACAUUAAGAUACAACUGCAAUAAAACCAGUAGUUGGAAAACUUUACCAAAAAUUCCAAUUCUUUAGAAAGUAACGAAGAAUUGUCAUAUAUCAUUAUUUAUUUACUUUCCAAGUGGGAUAAUCACUAAUUGAUUUUCAGUUGAGUGAAAUUUUGUUUUGAAUGUCCCUUCUCCUCUCCUUCUUUAUGGUUCCCAUGUGUCAUUGCUCAAAUGUUGAAUAAAAAUGUGUUUGAAGACGAAUAUUCUCCUUCCCUGCUUUUUUUUUUCCCUUCAAAUCAUUGCUAUUUACAACACUAGUGCAUCUGAUUCAUAUCACUCUUAUAGGCUGGAAUUACAUUCACACUGUUGUACUUCAAGCUCGUAAAUUGUUUAAGUACUACAUUUUUAAAGACCAUUUAAUCAAAUAUCAUAUAUUGUUCUUUCAUUAAAAAUAACCACCGAAUAUGUUAUACUAUAUCAAGUGUGAGCCUUUACAGUUUACACAAGUCUGUUUCUUAAGAUGAAUGUUAGAUGUCUAUAAAACAUAGAGGAAAUCAAUGAAAUCUUAGUCAAGCCGAAUGUAUUGAAUAUAAGGUGCAGCUUGACACAACAUUUUUGCCUAACUCAUGCAGUUUUGUUCAUGUUGAAGUUUAUUUCUUAAAUUAUCUCUCAGUUAUAUUCAGAUUCUUCGAACAUAUCAUAAUUUUAAAUAAACAUACAUUAAGGACUUAAUUGGUUAAGCCUCACCCUUUUCAGCUUCAUUAGGUUGUUGUCAAAACUCAGAAGGCACUUUAUUUAUCAUCUGGCUAAAUAUAUGUUCCUCAACAAGACAGUCGUGGUUUAGUAGUAUAAUAUUCCUCUUCUGGACCCGGUACCCCCAUGUCACCAUUUUUCCCAUACUAAAUUCAAGUUGGCUCAUGUCUAAAUCAAAAUAUGAUAUAUAUUUAUCCAAUUUAAGCCAACACAUGUACUUUCUCGUGAUAUAUUUAGCAGCUUUCCAGUUUAUUAUUUCAAAGAAAAAAUAAGUAGCAUAAAUUGAUUCUUAAAAUGAAUGAAUUGAUUUGAGAUACGGGACUACUAAAUUACUAUAGUAUGAUUUUUUGUAAUGUCUUUUUUAAUGUUUAUAGUAUAGGAUUAGGAAAAUUUGAAUACUAACAUCAAGAUUAAUGUGUGGUUGUGCCUUUGAUAUCUUUGACAUAUUUUUCUUGACAUAUAGUGUCGUCUCUUGCACAGGUUGCCUCCAUUAAGGUCAUUCGCAAUAAGCAAACUGGCUUCUCAGAAGGCUAUGGAUUUGUGGAGUUCCUUUCUCAUGCUGCUGCUGAAAAGGUUUUGCAAAGUUAUACUUGUAUUCCUAUGCCUAACACCGAUCAACCUUUCCGUUUAAACUGGGCUACAUUUAGCAUGGGCGACAAGCGCUCAAAUAAUGGUUCUGAUCUUUCUAUAUUUGUUGGAGAUUUAGCUUCAGAUGUCACUGAUACCUUGUUGCAUGAAACUUUUGCUAGUAAAUACCCAUCUGUUAAAGCUGCUAAGGUUGUCAUUGACGCCAAUACGGGUCGCUCAAAAGGUUAUGGUUUUGUAAGGUUUGGAGAUGAUAAUGAGAGGUCUCAGGCCAUGACUGAGAUGAAUG